rnacentral:rRNA from 1 species
UCUACUCGGCGUUCCGCGCCGCCGGAUAACCGUAGUAAUUCUAGGGCUAAUACGUGCGAAGCGCCCGAAGCCGCGAGGCGACGGGCGUUCUCGCCGGAUGUAGGAACCGACCCGGGGACCGCCGGGGCAACCCGGCGCCCCGAGACGGGGCGAACCACGGUGAAAUGACGGAUCGUCGGCCCCGCGCCGGCGACUCGCCGAAUGAGUUUCUGACCUAUCAACUCGAGACGGCGGGGUAGAGGCCCGCCGCGGUAACGACGGGUAACGGGGAAUCAGGGUUCGAUUCCGGAGAGGGAGCCCGAGAAACGGCUACCACUUCCAAGGAAGGCAGCAGGCGCGCAACUUACCCUAAUCUCGAUUCGAGGAGGUAGUGACAAGAAAUACCGAUGCGGGACCCUACGGGUGCCGCGUUCGGAAUGAGUACGAUUCGAACCACCUAACGAGAACGAUCGGAGGCAAGUCUGGUGCCAGCAGCCGCGGUAAUUCCAGCUCCAAUAGCGUACGUUAAAGUUGCUGCAGUUAAAAAG